CCAAGCCCGGAAAAUUUCGGGCUGAACUGGGUUGGAAAUGAUCACCCCCGAGAAUAAGCUAGCAGCAAGGAUAGCAAGUUGAGCGACGGCUACGAGUAGCGGUGGGAAAACAAAUAUGAUUUUCUCCCCACUUGUAGGAUAUAGGCUCAUAUAGCUUCUUCUGCUGCUGACUGUAGAGGAUUAAUUAGGGUUUCAAUCUCGUUUGGCGCUCUUUCAAAAACAUUCCAAACCGAAACCUAAUUCCGUAUAGUUCGAUUCUGGAGGAAUCAAAUUGCGCUCUCUUUUGGAUCUCGCAUUUGCAUGGAAUAGCGUGAUGACAGGGCAAUAAUUGGGGAGAUGAAAAUUCAGAUAAAAAAAUGAAAGGUCAAGGAAGUUAUGUGCCACCACCUUAUAUUCCAUUGGGACAGUCGGAGGUAGAAGAAGAUGGCGUUAGACAGAGUGAUGAACUUCCUGCUCAACGUCAGACAAGUGAUGGUCCUGAGCAGUGGUCUUCUGGGAUCUGUGCUUGCUGUGAUGAUAUGCAGAGUUGUUGCAUAGGCCUCUUUUGUCCUUGUUUCUUGUUUGCAAAGAAUGCGGAGUUUUUGGGCUCUGGAACAUUGAUUGGAUCGUGCACGACCCAUUUUAUUUUGUGCGGUCUUGCCAAUAUCCUUUGCUGUCUUCUGACUGAUGGCAUUCUCUUGGGAUUGCCAGGAUGCUUUGUUGCAUGUUAUGCUUGUGGUUACCGCAGAGCAUUACGGACAAAGUAUAAUCUGCAGGACGAUUGAAGUUCAUGCAUAAAAGGCCACCAACUGCGCCAGUUAGAAGAAGUAAUUUGUUACACAUUGAAGGGGCUAGAAGAGCUCGGGGUAGAUCAAAAAGGAUAUGGUAGAAGUAGUAAGAAAUGAUUUAAGCAUUAAUAAUAUAACAGUGGACAUGGAUUUAAAUAGAAUGGAUUGGCAAAGCAGGAUUCGUGUAGCCUACCCCAUAUAGUUGGGAUAAGACAUGGAUGAUGAUGAUGAUGCUGAUGAUAUUCGUGCUGUGUGCCUUUUCCUUAAAGCUGCUGCAGCACCUUCUGAUUCUUUGCCAAUUCUGUAGGAAGCACCUUGUGGGGAUUUAACUACUCACCUGUUCUGCCACCUGUGUGCGAUCUGUCAAGAAUAUAGGGAGAUCCGUGACAAAUCAGGAAAUUCUAAUCAAUCCGAUCUUAAACUUGCGGUUGUGACUGCCCCACCUGUACAGACAAUGGGGUCGG